GCGAGUAUAACUUAAACGGUUAAAGUGUCAGACUGUGACUCUGGAAAUAUGGGUUCAAUUCCCGUUAUUCGCC
rnacentral:tRNA from 1 species